rnacentral:rRNA from 1 species
AAUAUUUGACAAUGGGCGAAAGGCAGAUCCAGCCAUUCCGCGUGUGUGAAGACGAAAUUCGAUUUGUCAAGCACUUUAAGUAGGGAGGUAGGGCAGUAAGUAAAUACGUUGCUGUUUUGACGUUACCGACAGAAUAAGCACCGGCUAGCGUCGGGCUAACAGCCGCGGUAAUACGAAGGGUGCAAGCGUUAAUCGGAAUUACGGGGCGUAAAGCGCGCGUAGGUGGUUUGUUAAGUUGGAAGUGAAAGCCCCGGGCUCAACCUGGGAACUGCUUUCAAAACUGGCCAGCUAGAGUAUGGUAGAGGGUGGUGGAAUUUCCUGUGUAGCGGUGAAAUGCGUAGAUAUAGGAAGGAACACCAGUGGCGAAGGCGACCACCUGGGCUAAUACUGACACUGAGGUGCGAAAGCGUGGGGAGCAAACA